rnacentral:rRNA from 1 species
CCUACGGGAGGCAGCAGUGAGGAAUAUUGGUCAAUGGACGCAAGUCUGAACCAGCCAUGCCGCGUGCAGGAUGACGGCCCUACGGGUUGUAAACUGCUUUUAUUCGGGGAAAAACCCCUCUACGUGUAGAGGGCUGAUUGUACCGAAGGAAUAAGGAUCGGCUAACUCCGUGCCAGCAGCCGCGGUAAUACGGAGGAUCCGAGCGUUAUCCGGAUCUAUUGGGUUUAGAGGGUGCGUAGGUGGAAUAUUAAGUCAGUGGUGAAAUCCCGCAGCUCAACUGCGGAACUGCCAUUGAUACUGAUGUUCUUGAGUACAGAUGGGGUAGGCGGAAUGUAUCAUGUAGCGGUGAAAUGCUUAGAUAUGAUACAGAACACCAAUCGCGAAGGCAGCUUACCAAACUGUUACUGACGCUGAGCACGAAAGCAUGGGUAGCGAACAGGAUUAGAUACCCUGGUAGUCCAUGCCGUAAACGAUGAUAACUCGAUGCGUGCGAUAAACUGCACGUGUCCAAGCGAAAGCGUUAAGUUAUCCACCUGGGGAGUACGAUCGCAAGGUUGAAACUCAAAGGAAUUGACGGGGGCCCGCACAAGCGGUGGAGCAUGUGGUUUACUUCGAUGAUACGCGAGGAACCUUACCAGGGCUUGAAAGUUAGCGAUUGGUCGGGAAACCGAUCGUCCCUUCGGGGCGCGAAACUAGGUGCUGCAUGGCUGUCGUCAGCUCGUGCCGUGAGGUGUCGGGUUAAGUCCCAUAACGAGCGCAACCCCUAUCUCUAGUUGCCAGCACCUUGGGUGGGAACUCUAGAGAAACUGCCCGCGUAAGCGGUGAGGAAGGUGGGGACGACGUCAAGUCAUCACGGCCCUUACGUCCUGGGCCACACACGUGCUACAAUGGCCGGUACAGUGGGCAGCUACCAAGCGAUUGGAUGCUAAUCUCUAAAACCGGUCUCAGUUCGGAUUGGAGUCUGCAACUCGACUCUAUGAAGCUGGAAUCGCUAGUAAUCGCGCAUCAGCCAUGGCGCGGUGAAUACGUUCCCGGGCCUUGUACACACCGCCCGU